AUUAGCAUGCUAGUUGUACGAGUUCAUACUCGUAGCAAAUAGCUCCGUAACACGUGGCCAAACUACCCUACAGAGAACGAUAACCUCGGGAAACUGAGGCUAAUAGUUCAUACACGUCUCGAGCUGGAAUGCUGAGACGCUCAAACGUUCCGACGCUGUAGGACGUGGCUGCGGCCGAUUAGGUAGACGGUGGGGUAACGGCCCACCGUGCCGAUAAUCGGUACGGGUUGUGAGAGCAAGAACCCGGAGACGGAAUCUGAGACAAGAUUCCGGGCCCUACGGGGCGCAGCAGGCGCGAAACCUUUACACUGCACGCAAGUGCGAUAAGGGGACCCCGAGUGCGAGGGCAUACAGUCCUCGCUUUUCACUACCGUAAGGUGGUAGUGGAAUAAGAGCUGGGCAAGACCGGUGCCAGCCGCCGCGGUAAUACCGGCAGCUCGAGUGAUGGCCGAUUUUAUUGGGCCUAAAGCGUCCGUAGCCGGCCACACAAGUCCAUCGGGAAAUCCGCCAGCCUAACUGGCGGGCGUCCGGUGGAAACUGUGUGGCUCGGGACCGGAAGACCCAACAGGUACGUCUUGGGUAGGAGUGAAAUCCCGUAAUCCUGGACGGACCACCGAUAGCGAAAGCAUGUUGGGAAGACGGAUCCGACGGUGAGGGACGAAAGCCAGGGUCUCGAACCGGAUUAGAUACCCGGGUAGUCCUGGCCGUAAACGAUGUCUGCUAGGUGUGGCUCCCACUACGAGUGGGUGCUGUGCCGUAGGGAAGCCGCUAAGCAGACCGCCUGGGAAGUACGUCCGCAAGGAUGAAACUUAAAGGAAUUGGCGGGGGAGCACUACAACCGGAGGAGCCUGCGGUUUAAUUGGACUCAACGCCGGACAUCUCACCAGCAUCGACAACAGUAAUGACGGUCAGGUUGAUGACCUUGCCAGAGUUGUUGAGAGGAGGUGCAUGGCCGCCGUCAGCUCGUACCGUGAGGCGUCCUGUUAAGUCAGGCAACGAGCGAGACCCGCACUCCUAAUUGCCAGCACCGGCUUCGGCCGGGUGGGUACAUUAGGAGGACUGCCGUGGCUAACACGGAGGAAGGAACGGGCAACGGUAGGUCAGUAUGCCCCGAAUGUGCUGGGCUACACGCGGGCUACAAUGGCCAAGACAAUGGGUUCCCACCUCGAGAGAGGGCGGUAAUCUCCUAAACUUGGUCGUAGUUCGGAUUGAGGGUUGAAACUCACCCUCAUGAAGCUGGAUUCGGUAGUAAUCGCGUGUCAGCAGCGCGCGGUGAAUACGUCCCUGCUCCUUGCACACACCGCCCGUCAAAGCACCCGAGUGGGGUCCGGAUGAGGCUUGGUUACCCAAGUCGAAUCUGGGCUCCGCAAGGGGGCUAA
rnacentral:rRNA from 1 species